AGGCACAAUUUACAGAGCAAACAAUAGGUUCAAUUUUGGCAUUUCCCGAUGUGGGCAAGGUCACAGGGCUGUUCUUGGCAGGCAGUUCUCAUCCACGUGCUCACUGGCCCUCGCAGGCUGAUGUCAGAGAUGACACAUGGGUCAGGGAGCUCAGAUGCUUGAAUAGUGACACAGCUGGAACCCCACGUAGAACACGGGAGAGGAAAGCAGAGUGAGUUGAGUAAACAUCCUGUGACUUAUUUUACCCAGGCCCUAUUCAAGAUGGAGUUGCUCUGGCUCACACACCUGUGACCACAAAAGAAAGACUGGAUGACUGUGUGAGUGAUCAACCAACCAAACAAAAGAGAGGGAUCCUCCAUGAGGAGUGUGUCCAGACAGGAGCUGCUCUCCUUUUAGACUGUGCCCAAGAUAAACACAUAUGGAACAGAUCUGAUCCCAACCCACAGCCUGCGGCCAUGCCUGGCAGAGCCCAGCCUGGAUCAGCCAAGUCACGCUUGACCUGUGGACCUGAAUCCGCUGGUCUCCAUGGAUGGCAUCUUUUAUAUCCUACUAAGUUAGGAGAUGAAUUGCAUCAGCAGCAAGGCAAGCAACAACAAAGAGAUUUGCCCUUGAAACUUUUUGGAUGCCAUGACUUCCAUGAGCUCUAG
rnacentral:lncRNA from 13 species